UACAGAGGGUGCUAGCGUUGUUCGGAAUGACUGGGCGUAAAGGGAGCGUAGGCGGCUUUAUAAGUUAGGCGUGAAAUCCCCGGGCUCAACCUGGGAACUGCGCUUAAAACUGUAGAGCUUGAGAGCGGAAGAGGAGAGUGGAAUUCCUAGUGUAGAAGUGAAAUUCGUAGAUAUUAGGAGGAACACCAGAGGCGAAGGCGACUCUCUGGUCCGCAACUGACGCUGAGGCUCGAAAGCGUGGGGAGCAAACAGG
rnacentral:rRNA from 1 species